AGAUGGCGACUCCCUAUGUUACUGACGAGACCGGCGGGGUGGGAACCGCCAAACCUCUCCCUUCUUUUUGACUUCACCCUUGGAUACCAUCAAGGCCAGAGGAUGGAACCAAGAUAACAUAAAAUAGGCAAGUAUAUCGCGUCAACACAGCGACCUGACGGGACCUGGCGCAAGCAGCGGAGGGUGAAAGAAGGAUAUGUGCCCCAGGAGGAGGUCCCAGUAUAUGAAAACAAGUACGUGAAGUUUUUCAAGAGUAAACCAGAGUUGCCCCCAGGGCUAAGCCCUGAGGCCACUGCUCCUGUCACCCCAUCCAGGCCUGAAGGUGGUGAACCAGGCCUCUCCAAGACAGCCAAACGCAACCUGAAGCGAAAGGAGAAGAGGCGGCAGCAGCAAGAGAAAGGAGAGGCAGAGGCCUUGAGCAGGACUCUUGAUAAGGUGUCUCUGGAAGAGACAGCCCAACUCCACAGUGCUCCACAGGGCUCCCGGGCAGCCCCCACAGCUGCAUCUGACCAGCCUGACUCAGUUGCCACCACUGAGAAAGCCAAGAAGAUAAAGAACCUAAGGAAGAAGCUCCGGCAGGUGGAAGAGCUGCAGCAGCGGAUCCAGGCUGGGGAAGUCAGCCAGCCCAGCAAAGAGCAGCUGGAAAAACUAGCAAGGAGGAGGGCGCUAGAAGAGGAGUUAGAGGACUUGGAGUUAGGCCUCUGAGGCCUUUGGGGAAUAGGGAAUGGACUGCAGAACAAACCAUGGGGCUCUCUGGGGUCUGGGGGAAUAUGGGCAACAGCAGUCAGGAGGGGUACCCCCCAUACUGGCUUACUUCCACCUCUUGCGGCCCAGCUCUGUCCUCCAGAGCCUAGCAUCUCCCUCAAUCCUUCCCUUUUCUUCCCAACUUC
rnacentral:sRNA from 1 species